rnacentral:rRNA from 1 species
GAUGAACGCUGGCGGCGUGCCUAAUACAUGCAAGUCGAGCNNGAACGGACGAGAAGCUUGCUUCUCUGAUGUUAGCGGCGGACGGGUGAGUAGCACGUGGAUAACCUACCUAUAAGACUGGGAUAACUUCGGGAAACCGGAGCUAAUACCGGAUAAUAUUUUGAACCGCAUGGUUCAAAAGUGAAAGACGGUCUUGCUGUCACUUAUAGAUGGAUCCGCGCUGCAUUAGCUAGUUGGUAAGGUAACGGCUUACCAAGGCAACGAUGCAUAGCCGACCUGAGAGGGUGAUCGGCCACACUGGAACUGAGACACGGUCCAGACUCCUACGGGAGGCAGCAGUAGGGAAUCUUCCGCAAUGGGCGAAAGCCUGACGGAGCAACGCCGCGUGAGUGAUGAAGGUCUUCGGAUCGUAAAACUCUGUUAUUAGGGAAGAACAUAUGUGUAAGUAACUGUGCACAUCUUGACGGUACCUAAUCAGAAAGCCACGGCUAACUACGUGCCAGCAGCCGCGGUAAUACGUAGGUGGCAAGCGUUAUCCGGAAUUAUUGGGCGUAAAGCGCGCGUAGGCGGUUUUUUAAGUCUGAUGUGAAAGCCCACGGCUCAACCGUGGAGGGUCAUUGGAAACUGGAAAACUUGAGUGCAGAAGAGGAAAGUGGAAUUCCAUGUGUAGCGGUGAAAUGCGCAGAGAUAUGGAGGAACACCAGUGGCGAAGGCGACUUUCUGGUCUGUAACUGACGCUGAUGUGCGAAAGCGUGGGGAUCAAACAGGAUUAGAUACCCUGGUAGUCCACGCCGUAAACGAUGAGUGCUAAGUGUUAGGGGGUUUCCGCCCCUUAGUGCUGCAGCUAACGCAUUAAGCACUCCGCCUGGGGAGUACGACCGCAAGGUUGAAACUCAAAGGAAUUGACGGGGACCCGCACAAGCGGUGGAGCAUGUGGUUUAAUUCGAAGCAACACGAAGAACCUUACCAAAUCUUGACAUCUUUUGACAACUCUAGAGAUAGAGCUUUCCCCUUCGGGGGACAAAGUGACAGGUGGUGCAUGGUUGUCGUCAGCUCGUGUCGUGAGAUGUUGGGUUAAGUCCCGCAACGAGCGCAACCCUUAAGCUUAGUUGCCAUCAUUAAGUUGGGCACUCUAAGUUGACUGCCGGUGACAAACCGGAGGAAGGUGGGGAUGACGUCAAAUCAUCAUGCCCCUUAUGAUUUGGGCUACACACGUGCUACAAUGGACAAUACAAAGGGCAGCGAAACCGCGAGGUCAAGCAAAUCCCAUAAAGUUGUUCUCAGUUCGGAUUGUAGUCUGCAACUCGACUACAUGAAGCUGGAAUCGCUAGUAAUCGUAGAUCAGCAUGCUACGGUGAAUACGUUCCCGGGUCU